rnacentral:rRNA from 1 species
UAGGGAAUCUUCGGCAAUGGGGGGAACCCUGACCGAGCAACGCCGCGUGAGUGAAGAAGGUUUUCGGAUCGUAAAGCUCUGUUGUUAAGGAAGAACGAGUGUGAGAAUGGAAAGUUCAUGCUGUGACGGUACUUAACCAGAAAGGGACGGCUAACUACGUGCCAGCAGCCGCGGUAAUACGUAGGUGGCAAGCGUUGUCCGGAAUUAUUGGGCGUAAAGCGCGCGCAGGUGGUUUAGAAAGUCUGAUGUGAAAGCCCACGGCUCAACCGUGGAGGGUCAUUGGAAACUAAUAAACUUGAGUGCAGGAGAGAAAAGUGGAAUUCCUAGUGUAGCGGUGAAAUGCGUAGAGAUUAGGAGGAACACCGGUGGCGAAAGCGGCUCUCUGGUCUGUAACUGACGCUGAGGCUCGAAAGCGUGGGGAGCGAACAGG